rnacentral:misc_RNA from 1 species
AAGGAGAUGUCAACUAAACCAGAGAACAGGGUUUGUGGCAGAAACAUUUAGUAACAGUGUGAGUGAGGAUUAGCCAUCCAUGAAGAAUAUUUCUGAAAAUUUCAAGGCAACUUUGGACACUGACAGCAUUUUACCUUAAAUAGUUUUGGAUUGUACAUUUACCAAUUCAUCAUGAAACAUGUAAAUAAUCUAUAAAUCCACCCAUUGUAAUGUAUAAUACAAAAGACGAAUGCAUUUAAUAAAGAGUGCAUGAAGUUUUUUAGAAAA